CUACGGGCCGCUCCAGUGAGGAAUAUUGCACAAUGGAGGAAACUCUGAUGCAGCAACGCCGCGUGGAGGAUGACGCAUUUCGGUGUGUAAACUCCUUUUAUGAGUCAAGAAAAUGACGGUAGCUCAUGAAUAAGCACCGGCUAACUCCGUGCCAGCAGCCGCGGUAAUACGGAGGGUGCAGCGUUACUCGGAAUCACUGGGCGUAAAGGACGCGUAGGCGGGAUAUCAAGUCAGGUGUGAAAUCCUACAGCUUAACUGUAGAACUGCACUUGAAACUGGUAACCUAGAGUAUGGAGGGGGAAAUGGAAUUAGUGGUGUAGGGGUAAAAUCCGUAGAUAUCACUAGGAAUACCUGAAGCGAAGGCGAUCUCCUGGAACAUAACUGACGCUAAGGCGUGAAAGCGUGGGGAGCAAACAGGAUUAGAUACCCCAGUAGUC
rnacentral:rRNA from 1 species